UACGUAGGGUGCGAGCGUUGUCCGGAAUUAUUGGGCGUAAAGAGCUUGUAGGUGGUUUGUCGCGUCUGCUGUGAAGAUCCGAGGCUCAACCUCGGACUUGCAGUGGGUACGGGCAGACUAGAGUGUGGUAGGGGAGACGUGGAAGUUCCUGGUGUAGCGGUGAAAUGCGCAGAUAUCAGGAGGAACACCGAUGGCGAAGGCAGGUCUCUGGGCCAAUAACUGACGCU
rnacentral:rRNA from 1 species